rnacentral:rRNA from 1 species
UACGUAGGGGGCCAGCGUUGCUCGGACUUACUGGGCGUAAAGGGUUCGUAGGUGGUGCGUCAAGUUGGAAGUGAAAUCUCUGGGCUUCCCCCAGAGGCUGCUUUCAAAACUGCCGUGCUCGAGUGCGAGAGAGGUCAGUGGAAUUGCAGGUGUAGCGGUGAAAUGCGUAGAUAUCUGGAGGAACACCCGUGGCGAAGGCGGCUGACUGGAUCGCAACUGACACUGAGGAACGAAAGCGAGGGGAGCAAACAGG